UGGUGAUAUCUCCUUACUGUUAUCAAUGGAGGUACUCGUUCAUGCCGUGGGUUGAAAGACCUUAGACGCGAGUCGUCGCUGGUGUGGGGUGAGGGUGGGUUGAAUGCCCA
rfam:Jeotgalibacillus campisalis strain SF-57 contig00001, whole genome shotgun sequence.